rnacentral:tRNA from 1 species
GGGAAGGUGGCUCAGUGGUAGAGUGCUUGCCUUGUAUGCAUGAGGCCCUAGAUUCCUUGCCU